AGGAAAUAGGUUGAAAAGGAAGGGAAGGAAACGAAAAGGAGGAAAAUAAAAAAUGAAAGGAAAUGAAGAAGAGAAGGUAGGGAGGAAAUUUAAUAAAAUGAAGAAGGAAAUAAAGAAAUAUGGGAAGGAAAGGAAAGGAAGAUAAAAGAAGAAAUGAAGGAAAGUAAGGAAAUAAAGAAGAGGAGGUAAGGAAGGAAAUUAAAAGGAAGAAAGUGGAGAAGACGAAGAAAGAUGAAAGAAAAAAUAAGGAGAGGAAAGAUAGGUGGGAGGUAAGGAAGAAAAGAUGAAGGGAAGUGAAGACAAUAGAAAAGAAGGGAAGGGAAAUGAAGAAGAGGAGGUAGGGAAGACAAAGAAAGAUGGAAAGGAAAGAGAGGAAGAAAGAUACAGAAAAAAUAAGGAGAGGAAAGAUAGGUAGGAGGUAAGGAAGAAAAGAUGACGGUAACUGAAGACAAUAGAAAAGAAGGGAAGGGAA